rnacentral:rRNA from 1 species
AGAGUUUGAUUCUGGCUCAGGAUGAACGCUAGCGGCAGGCUUAACACAUGCAAGUCGAGGGGCAGCGGGAUGUAGCAAUACAUUGCCGGCGACCGGCGGAUGGGUGCGUAACGCGUAUGCAACCUACCUUAUACAGGGGAAUAACCUUUCGAAAGGGAGACUAACACCCCAUAGUAUUGAUUUAAGGCAUCUUAGAUUAAUUAAAUAUUUAUAGGUAUAAGAUGGGCAUGCGUAUGAUUAGCUAGUUGGUAAGGUAACGGCUUACCAAGGCGACGAUCAUUAGGGGUUCUGAGAGGAAGGUCCCCCACACUGGUACUGAGACACGGACCAGACUCCUACGGGAGGCAGCAGUGAGGAAUAUUGGUCAAUGGGCGCAAGCCUGAACCAGCCAUGCCGCGUGCAGGAAAGACGGCCUUAUGGGUUGUAAACUGCUUUUACAUAAGACUAACCGUAUAUUUGCGAAUAUACCUGAAUGUAUUAUGAGAAUAAGGAUCGGCUAACUCCGUGCCAGCAGCCGC